AAUGGGGGAAACCCUGACGCAGCAAUACCGCGUGAGUGAAGAAGGUUUUCGGAUCGUAAAACUCUUUUAUUGGGGAAGAAGAAGUGACGGUACCCAAUGAAGAAGUCCCGGCUAACUACGUGCCAGCAGCCGCGGUAAUACGUAGGGGACAAGCGUUGUCCGGAAUCACUGGGCGUAAAGGGCGCGUAGGCGGUUUUAUAAGUCAGAUGUGAAAGGUACCGGCUCAACCGGUGACGUGCAUUUGAAACUGUAAGACUUGAGUACUGGAGAGGCAAGUGGAAUUCCUAGUGUAGCGGUGAAAUGCGUAGAUAUUAGGAGGAACACCGGUGGCGAAGGCGGCUUGCUGGACAGAUACUGACGCUGAGGUGCGAAAGCGUGGGGAGCGAA
rnacentral:rRNA from 1 species